rnacentral:tRNA from 2 species
CCCUGGUUAGCUCAGUUGGUAGAGCGCUCCACGUGUAAUGGAGAGGUCCCGGGUUCGAUACCCGGACCAGGCG